rnacentral:rRNA from 1 species
UACGUAGGUGGCAAGCGUUGUCCGGAAUUACUGGGUGUAAAGGGCGUGUAGGCGGGAAGGCAAGUCAGAUGUGAAAUCCCAGGGCUUAACUCUGGAGCUGCAUCUGAAACUGUUUUCUUGAGUACUGGAGAGGAAAGUGGAAUUCCUAGUGUAGCGGUGAAAUGCGUAGAGAUUAGGAGGAACACCAGUGCCGAAGGCGGCUUUCUGGACUGUAACUGACGCUGAGGCACGAAAGCGUGGGGAGCAAACAGGAUUAGAUACCCUGGUAGU